rnacentral:tRNA from 1 species
UCCCUGGUGGCUUAGAUGGUAGAGAGUCUGCCUGCAUUGUGGAAGACCUAGGUUCGAUUCCUGGGUGGGGAA